UGAGCAACCUGCCCUUGACUCUGGAAUAACAGCUGGAAACAGCUGCUAAUACCGGAUACGACCUCCGAUGGCAUCAUCUGGAGGUGGAAAGCUCCGGCGGUCAAGGAUGGGCUCGCGGCCUAUCAGCUUGUUGGUGAGGUAACGGCCCACCAAGGCGACGACGGGUAGCCGGCCUGAGAGGGUGACCGGCCACACGUGGGACUGAGACACGGCCCAGACCUCCGUAGGGACGGACG
rnacentral:rRNA from 1 species